rnacentral:tRNA from 1 species
GGAGGGUAGCGUCAAGGUGACAAAGUGGACUUGAAAUCCAUGCCAUUGGUUAGUAGCCGAUGAAGGUUCGAUUCCUUUACCCUCCU